GCAGAGGGCUGGAUGGCCGCGGGGGGCGUAAGCCCCGCGAGGAAAGUCCGGACUCCAUAAGGCAGUGGUGCCGGGUAACGCCCGGGCGGAGAGAUCCGACGGAGAGCGCCACAGAAAAUAGACCGCCCGUCGGACCAGAGGUUCGCCAAAGGAGCAUCCGUACGGGUAAGGGUGAAACGGUGGGGUAAGAGCCCACCGCGCCGCUGGCAACAGGGGCGGCAUGGCAAGCCCCACCAGGAGCAAUGCCAAAUAGGACCCCCGCGCGGGCUGGUCCCGGAUCUCCGGGAUACCGCCGCUAGGCUGGCUUUAGCCGAGAGGGGUCGGGUUGGCAGCUUGAGGUUCGCAGCAAUGCGCGCCCUAGAGGAAUGGUCAUCGAAGGGGGUAACCCCGGAACAAAAUCCGGCUUAUAGGCCCUCUGCGCAU
rnacentral:RNase_P_RNA from 1 species